rnacentral:snoRNA from 1 species
UGGCGAAACUUAAUUCCAUAAUUUGGUAGCACUUUUAAGUUUCCAUUUAUGGCCAGACAUUUUGCUAGAAUAAAACUUUAGUUUAUGACGUCUUCAGCAUUUGCCGAGAAUUUGGCCUAUGAUCUGAACAUGACAUAAGCACAUU